CUGGUGCUGCUGUAUUGUGGACCCUGUGCUGUCUCUUAGCCAAGAUGCCUGAGGAAACCCAGACCCAAGACCAACCGAUGGAGGAGGAGGAGGUUGAGAUGUUCGCCUUUCAGGCAGAAAUUGCCCAGUUGAUGUCACUGAUCAUCAAUACUUUCUACUCGAACAAAGAGAUCUUUCUGAGAUAGUUCAUUUCAAAUUCAUCAGAUGCAUUGGACAAACUCUGGUAUGAAAGCUUGAUGGAUCCCAGUAAAUGAGACUCUGGGAAAGAGCUGCAUAUUAACCCUGUACCAAACAAACAAGAUCGAACUCUCACUAUUGUGGAUACUGGAAUUGGAAUGACCAAGGCUGACUUGAUCAAUAACCUUGGUACUGUCACCAAGUCUGGGACCAAAGCGUUCAUAGAAACUUUGCAGGCUGGUGCAGAUAUCUCUAUGAUUGUCCAGUUCUGUGUUGGUUUUUAUUUUGCUUAUUUGGUUGCUGAGAAAGUAACUGUGAUCACCAAACAUAAUGAUGAUGAGCAGUAUGCCUGGGAGUCCUCAGCAGUGUGAAUGAUCAUUCACAGUGAGGACAGACACGGGUGAACCUAUGGGUUGUGGAACAAAGGUUAUCCUACACCAGAAGGAAGACCAAACUGAGUACUUGGAGGAAUGAAGAAUAAAGGAGAUUGUGAAGAAACAUUCUCAGUUUAGUGGAUAUCCCAUUACUCUUUUUGUGGAGAAGGAAUGUGAUAAAGAAGUCAGCGAUGAUGAGGCUGAAGAAAAGGAACACAAAGAAGCAGAAAUAGAAAAAGAAGAGAAAGAGUCUGAAGACAAACCUGAAAUUGAAGAUGUUGGUUCUGAUGAGGAAGAAGAAGAAAAGAAGGAUGGUGACAAGAAGAAGAAGAGGAAGAUUAAGGAAAAGUACAUGGAUCAAGAACUCAACAAAACAAAGACCAUCUGGACCAGAAAUCCCAAUGAUAUUACUAAUGAGGAGUACGGAGAAUUCUACAAGAGCUUGACCAAUGACUGGGAAGAUCACUUGGCAGUGAAGCGUCUUUCAGUUGAAGGACAGUUGGAAUUCAGAGUCCUUCUAUUUGUCCCACAACGUGCUCCUUUUGGCCUGUUUGAAAACAAAAAGAAAAAGAACAACAUCAAAUUGUAUGUUUUCAUCAUGGAUAACUGUGAGGAGCUAAUCCCUGAAUAUCUGAACUUCAUUAGAAGGGUGGUAGACCUGGAGGAUCUUCCUCCAAAUAUUUCCCAUGAGAUGCUGCAACAAAGCAAAAUUUUGAAAGUUAUCAGGAAGAAUUUGGUCAAAAAAAUGCUUAUAACUCUUUGCUGAACUGGCAGAAGAUAAAGAGAACUACAAGAAGUUCUAUGAGCAGUUCUCUAAAAACAUAAAGCUUGGAAUACAUGAAGACUCUCAAAAUCAGAAGAAGCUUUCAGAGCUAUUAAGUUACUACACAUCUGCCUCUGGUGAUGAGAUGGGUUCUCUCAAGGACUGCUGCACCAGAAUGAAGGAAAACCAGAAACAUAUCUAUUAUAUCACAGGUGAGACCAAGGACCAGGUAGCUAACUCAGCCUUUGUGGAAAGUCUUCGGAAACAUGGCUUAGAAGUGAUCUAUAUGAUCGAGCCCAUUGGUGAAUACUGUGUCCAACAGCUGAAGGAAUUUGAGGGGAAGACCUUAGUGUCAGUCACCAAAGAGGGCUUGGAAGUUCCAUUAUUUUAAACAUUUUUCUUUUUUAUGAAGCUAAUAUUCUAGAGGAAGAAGAGAGGUAAAUGCUAUAUAGUAAAUAAAUAGGUAAAUGUUAAAUAUAACUUUGAAUAGUCUUCAAUGAACAGAAAGGGGGAAAUUUUAGUAUGGAAUAAGAGGGAUCUGGCUAAAGGAAGAGAUGCUGAGA